rnacentral:rRNA from 1 species
GAUGAACGCUGGCGGCGUGCCUAAUACAUGCAAGUCGAGCGAACGGACGAGAAGCUUGCUUCUCUGAUGUUAGCGGCGGACGGGUGAGUAACACGUGGAUAACCUACCUAUAAGACUGGGAUAACUUCGGGAAACCGUAGCUAAUACCGGAUAAUAUUUUGAACCGCAUGGUUCAAAAGUGAAAGACGGUCUUGCUGUCACUUAUAGAUGGAUCCGCGCUGCAUUAGCUAGUUGGUAAGGUAACGGCUUACCAAGGCAACGAUGCAUAGCCGACCUGAGAGGGUGAUCGGCCACACUGGAACUGAGACACGGUCCAGACUCCUACGGGAGGCAGCAGUAGGGAAUCUUCCGCAAAGGGCGAAAGCCUGACGGAGCAACGCCGCGUGAGUGAUGAAGGUCUUCGGAUCGUAAAACUCUGUUAUUAGGGAAGAACAUAUGUGUAAGUAACUGUGCACAUCUUGACGGUACCUAAUCAGAAAGCCACGGCUAACUUCGUG